rnacentral:lncRNA from 1 species
GUGGGUCAGGUCGGGGUAAGCACGCCGUUGGCGCAUAAAAAAAGUGAUACAGUGGACAUGACCGGGAGUGGGCCACAUGUUAUAUAGAUUCGUCGGGCCCACAACCUGUUAGAUGGCCGCCCUACUUAGCUGAUGCCAAUGGGGAGAGAGAGGCACACAUUGUUGUACGACAAUCUGAAUCCUGCAUGCUCCUCAUUCCUCGCCUUCUUCUUGCUCAAGCAAACUACUCCCUUUAUCUCAUCUUGAUUCUUCAUCCCCUUCUCUAUAUUGAUCCUUGAUCAUCGCAAGAUCAUUAGAGCAACUUCAAUAGGACGACCCAAACGGACGGCUAUGUAAUCUUUUUUUAUUUGUUUGGAUCGGUUCAGCGGACACCAAAGCCCGUUUCGGCGUUUGGGUCGACGCAUGCGCUCAACGCUGGUUCGAUACGUUUUUGCCGACGUAUGAGAAUAUAUAUAUAAAGCAUUGCUAAAAAUAAUAAACAAACAUAAUUAAAACAUUAAAAGCCGACCACGAAGGCCGGUAAGAGUUCACACGUCCCCAUUACAUUAAUUAAAUAUAAAUAAACCUAAACUAGGAGGCAAUCCUAGGCGGCGAUGCCGUCGUCGUCCCGGCAGAUGAGGUCGCCAGCUUAGGCGCGGGGCCGGUCUACGGGAUUGCCUUGUUGCAGAGUGCAGUUGCCUCCGUCUCCGUCAUAUUUCCCGCCGGCGUGAGUUGUGCUGCUCGCGGUGGCAGCGCAGCAUGGGCGCACUCCUCCUUCUCCAUCUCCCGUGGUUCGUCCCCCGCCUCCUUCUCCAGCCCCAUCUGCCGAUGGCCUUUGGCGCGCUCCGUGCGCGAGUGCUCCGACUUCCAGUGCAGGCGGUAGGCUUCCUGCUGCUCCGGUGUCGCGCCCAGCCAGAUGGGCAGCGCACUGACCCACUCGCGGACGC